UCAAAAAGCGUUACUUUUAUGGUCUCAAUUGCAUAAACAGUUAUAUUUGGCACAACGAAGGUAUAUAUUUUAACGUACUUUUAUGGUCUCUUUACGUGACUACAGAAAACUUGGCGAUGGCUACUAUAUUGUUUACGUUGCCACGUAAUUACCGAUGGAUCAUGUCUAUUUCCUGUUUACGUUGCCACAUAAUUACCAAUUUAUAACAUUAGGCAAACUCUUCUACCUGUGACAAGAUUGGUUCAGUUCUUCGUACCUCAACAUUCCUUGCAUGUGUUUCAAGCCUAGAUUCAUUGACGCAGGGGGCUCGGUGUCACGUCUGGUGGCCAAGCACGAAGUCAAAGCUACACAUGCUGCUAAUGGUUGGAGCUAUAUGGCAGCCAACAAGUUCAUCAAUAUCUCUGUUACGGCCAUCGCUAUCUUCCAUUUCACAAUAUGUGCCUUCUUAUAAUGUUAUCAUGCAGAUGCCAAUUCAUUUCUCUGUCCAUAUAGCUUUGAGAAGGUCAGCAUAGCUGUUUGUUUGAGGCUCAACGUGAUACCAGCCUUUGAUUCAAGCUUUGCUUUUUUGUUUUCCCAGGAGCCUUAGCUUUUAGUGUUAUUAAUUUAUCAUGGAUGUUUGUUUUGUGUUCUUCACAUUCCAUGGACUACAAAGAAUAUGUGUUAUUCCAUUUAUAGUCGUUUGGUACAUCUAAAGUGGAGACCAGUGAAACAUCUAUAUGCAUUUGUUCAUGUUAUGUGUGAUA